rnacentral:rRNA from 1 species
CCUACGGGUGGCAGCAGUGAGGAAUAUUGGUCAAUGGACGGAAGUCUGAACCAGCCAUGCCGCGUGCAGGAAGACUGCUCUAUGAGUUGUAAACUGCUUUUGUAUAAGGGUAAACCUGAAUACGUGUAUUCAGUUGAAUGUACUGUAUGAAUAAGGAUCGGCUAACUCCGUGCCAGCAGCCGCGGUAAUACGGAGGAUCCAAGCGUUAUCCGGAUUUAUUGGGUUUAAAGGGUGCGUAGGCGGAUGGUUAAGUUAGAGGUGAAAUGUCGGGGCUCAACUGGGAAAUUGCAUUUAAUACUGUUGGUCUUGAGAGUAGCUGCGGUAGGCGGAAUGUGUGGUGUAGCGGUGAAAUGCUUAGAGAUCAUACAGAACUCCGAUUGCGAAGGCAGCUUACCAAUCUGUAUCUGACGUUGAGGCACGAAAGCGUGGGGAGCAAACAGGAUUAGAUACCCGGGUAGUC